CAAGUCGUGGGGCAGCAUGUCCCGUAGCAAUACGGGAUGAUGGCGACCGGCAAACGGGUGCGGAACACGUACACAACCUUCCUUUUAGUGGGGAAUAGCCCGGGGAAACCCGGAUUAAUACCCCGUAAUAUAAUAGAGUGGCAUCACUUUAUUAUUAUAGCAGCAAUGCGCUUAAAGAUGGGUGUGCGACUGAUUAGGCAGUUGGCGGGGUAACGGCCCACCAAACCUACGAUCAGUAACUGGUGUGAGAGCACGACCAGUCACACGGGCACUGAGACACGGGCCCGACUCCUACGGGAGGCAGCAGUAAGGAAUAUUGGUCAAUGGACGCAAGUCUGAACCAGCCAUGCCGCGUGGAGGAUGAAGGUCCUCUGGAUUGUAAACUUCUUUUAUCUGGGAAGAAAUCCACGAAUUCUUUUGUGGUUGACGGUACCAGAUGAAUAAGCACCGGCUAACUCCGUGCCAGCAGCCGCGGUAAUACGGAGGGUGCAAGCGUUAUCCGGAUUCACUGGGUUUAAAGGGUGCGUAGGUGGGCAGGUAAGUCAGUGGUGAAAUCUCCGGGCUUAACUCGGAAACUGCCAUUGAUACUAUCUGUCUUGAAUACCGUGGAGGUCAGCGGAAUAUGUCAUGUAGCGGUGAAAUGCUUAGAUAUGACAUAGAACACCAAUUGCGAAGGCAGCUGGCUACACGAAUAUUGACACUGAUGCACGAAAGCGUGGGGAUCAAACAGGAUUAGAUACCCUGGUAGUCCACGCCCUAAACGAUGGAUACUCGACAUACGCGAUAUACUGUGUGUGUCUGAGCGAAAGCAUUAAGUAUCCCACCUGGGAAGUACGAUCGCAAGAUUGAAACUCAAAGGAAUUGGCGGGGGUC
rnacentral:rRNA from 1 species